ACCCGAUUAGCUCAAUUGGCUAGAGCGUGGGACGUAUGAUCCCAAGGUUGGGGGUUCGACCCCCCCAUCGGGUG
rnacentral:tRNA from 1 species